rnacentral:rRNA from 1 species
AUUGAACGCUGGCGGCAGGCCUAACACAUGCAAGUCGAACGAGUGGCGGACGGGUGAGUAAUGUCUGGGAAUCUGCCUGAUGGAGGGGGAUAACUACUGGAAACGGUAGCUAAUACCGCAUACUAUCGGAUGAACCCAGAUGGGAUUAGCUAGUAGGUGGGGUAAAGGCUCACCUAGGCGACGAUCCCUAGCUGGUCUGAGAGGAUGACCAGCCACACUGGAACUUAGACACGGUCCAGACUCCGACGGGAGGCAGCAGUGGGGAAUAUUGCACAAUGGGCGCAAGCCGGAUGCAGCCAUGCCGCGUGUAUGAAGAAGGCCUUAGGGUUGUAAAGUACUUUCAGCGGGGAGGCGUUACCCGCAGAAGAAGCACCGGCUAACUCCGUGCCAGCAGCCGCGGUAAUUC